UCGGCUCGGGAGAAUCCGCUCGGGGGCAGGAAGUGGCCCGCUGCUCCUCUCCGAGAGCGUUUCCGGAGCGCCUACUGUGUGCUCCGCGCCGGCGGCGGGGGCCGGUCCAGAGGGGAGAAGUCCCGCAGAAACUGACGUUUGUGGGGCCGCUCCCCGCGCCCCAUCUCCCGCCGGCGGUGCGAUGGUUCCCUUCGCACCAAGAGGAAACUGAGGCCCGGUCAGCCCGGGGAUUUGCCCGAGCUGCUGAGGACCGGGCUCUGACGGCGACGACUCCUCUGCCCUCAACGGCCGCUAGAGUCGGGUAGAAGGCUGCCUCGGACAGAAGCCCGAAGCCCGCACUCCUGCGUGUAGAACACAGGAGGCGGCCUGAGCACUGUUCAUUCCGGUGGAAGACUGCAGACAACUAUAUGCUCCCUCACCAGGAGCUGACUUCUUGCAGGAACUCUGGGACCUCCGUACAGCAAGCAGGAUGCUGUAAUGGGGAGCCCCACUUCUGGACAUGCAGGGCAGGAUGGCAUGCUUCUGGGGGCAGCGUCGACUGCACAGAGCGAGCAGCAUGCUGGACGAGAGCCGAGCGUGGACCCCGCACACUGAUGAACGUGAGCCCCCAGCUCAAAGACGACACACGGAGAAGGGAGCCAAGCAGCACUGACCGAUGUGGGCAGCGUUAGUGCCGACCAGGAAUUUGUCC